UAUUAUUCUACACACUUGGUCAAAGUUAGACAUGUUUGACUUAGGGCAAACCUAAUGUGACAUGUAAAAAGAGGGAGUAUAACUACUAAUGAAAUGCGUGUAAUCUACUCCCUUAUUUAAUUAGUAUCUAUUUUAAUAUGAUCUUCUCUUAAAUCAAAGUACAGACCAAAGAAAUAAAUUUAGACACCCUCCGCUUACAUGCAAACAUGAAUAGAAAUUGGUUGAGUUGGCAUUCGUUCAGUUGCCCUCCCCUUCCCUCCUCCAAGGGCCCCAAUAUGUAUAAGGAGAAACAAGCAAAGAAAAAAAAUGAUGGAAUCCAAGGGAUAAUCAGGACCACACAGCCGUGUAAUUUCUAGGAUGUUUUGCUAACAUUGGAGCUAAGCAAC
rnacentral:lncRNA from 1 species